UCUACGGGAGGCAGCAGUGGGGAAUAUUGCACAAUGGAGGAAACUCUGAUGCAGCGACGCCGCGUGAACGAUGAAGGUCUUCGGAUCGUAAAGCUCUGUCCUAGGGGAAGAUAAUGACGGUACCCGAGGAGGAAGCCCCGGCUAACUACGUGCCAGCAGCCGCGGUAAUA
rnacentral:rRNA from 2 species